ACGAGGGAGAUUGCUAUUCAGACUUCUCCACUCCCCGGUACUUAGCGUAAAAACCUCAACUUGCCAAGGGAUGCUAGUUACAAUUUCCAGAUCCGCAAACCUUUUAAUAGAUCUAAUCUUGACAACCUUCGGCUCACUCGUCUCGCGACAAACCCCAAACCCGAGCUUGGUGUUAAACAUCUUAGCAUCUACCACAUUAGGCACAACAACAGCAACAGCUUUUCUAAUCGAAGGAUUCCAAAUAACAAGUUUUCCGUCGUUAUACAAACACAACAAGCCAUGAGAACUGCCUAUUUUCCUAUAACUUUCAAGCAUCUUAACCAACGGAGGAAGAGUCACAGAGACUCUCUGUUCAGGGAAAGUAUUAUCAUCAACGAUUGAAACGUAUUUUGCCUCAGAACCAUACCGACGGAUAUACACAAGUAGAUGUUGCUGUUGGGAGCUGUAAUGAGUGAUGAAAUUGGAGCUAUCGAUGAGAGAUUUCCAUGAUUUGGAGACUGAUCGGAAUCGAAUGAGUGAUUUUACUGGAAGCCGAUGUUUGAUGAUUUCCUCUUGAAUCUCGAAAGGCACGUUGUCUGACAUCU
rnacentral:lncRNA from 1 species